AUUGAACGCUGGCGGCAGGCCUAACACAUGCAAGUCGAACGGGUCCUUCGGGACUAGUGGCGGACGGGUGAGUAACGCGUGGGAACAUGCCCUUUGGUACGGAAUAGCCUCGGGAAACUGGGAGUAAUACCGUAUGUGGUCGAGAGACGAAAGAUUUAUCGGCAAAGGAUUGGCCCGCGUUGGAUUAGGUAGUUGGUGGGGUAAUGGCCUACCAAGCCGACGAUCCAUAGCUGGUUUGAGAGGAUGAUCAGCCACACUGGGACUGAGACACGGCCCAGACUCCUACGGGAGGCAGCAGUGGGGAAUCUUAGACAAUGGGGGAAACCCUGAUCUAGCCAUGCCGCGUGAUCGAUGAAGGCCUUAGGGUUGUAAAGAUCUUUCAGGUGGGAAGAUAAUGACUGUACCACCAGAAGAAGCCCCGGCUAACUCCGUGCCAGCCGCCGCGGUAAAAC
rnacentral:rRNA from 1 species